rnacentral:rRNA from 1 species
CUGACGUUAGCGGCGGACGGGUGAGUAACACGUGGGUAACCUACCUAUAAGACUGGGAUAACUCCGGGAAACCGGGGCUAAUACCGGAUAAUACAUGAAACCGCAUGGUUUCAUGAUGAAAGACGGUUUUGCUGUCACUUAUAGAUGGACCCGCGGCGUAUUAGCUAGUUGGUAAGGUAACGGCUUACCAAGACAACGAUACGUAGCCGACCUGAGAGGGUGAUCGGCCACACUGGAACUGAGACACGGUCCAG